rnacentral:rRNA from 1 species
AUGGCGCAGAAACAGGACAGUGUCUUCUGCAGCUCCGACAAGAACUUCCUCAGAACUAUGCGUGCCAAUCUUGUUGGAUCCAAGUACCAGAUUUGGGGCCAGGGGAACCGGGUCGAUGAGCUUAAGAGCCAGUCCAAGCGGCUUCUUGGCAUUAUCGCGUUUGCCCCUACUAUUACUACGCUCAUGGGGAGUUUCAGAAGCAUGAGGGCAUGGAUCCCCAAGAACCAGUCCAUGCAGGUGAGGACCAACAGUUCUGCUCAGAUUCAGCACGUCAGUGGGCUUCCAAAGGAUUGGCGGGAGAAGAGGAGCAGAGCUGACCAACUCUGCUCAAGAUCACCUUUCUACAACAAUAUGACGAAGCACUACGAACUAGAUUUCAGAGAGAGGGUUGGGAGGAUGGAUACAAGGUGCAGACAUCAGUGA